CACUUGUAGGCAGGAAAAUGUGGGCCGUUCGAUGGGCAUUGCACUCCAGCACGAGAGCAUUAGGGCGUACCUGGGCAGAAGGAAAAAGGGAUUAGCAGUGUCCUUUAAGCUGGAAAUGAAUCAUGCUACAUAAUCACACAAAAGAUUUAUCGACAAUAUUGAUAUUGGUUCUAGAGCCAUUGUAGUUUAUUUCACCAUACUAGUUGAAUCGUCUCUAAUCUUUCUACCAACUUACAAUUCAUCUGCACAACUCGACGGUUGCUCCAUUCGAUAUCCACUUUUCAGUUUCGUAAUAAGAUUGCUUGUGGAAAGAAGCGGAUAAGGAUUGCCUCCCAACGUGCAAAUUUCGUACAGCAGCACUCCGAAGGACCACACGUCACUCUGUGAAUAAACAUAAACCAAAAAAUAUAUGCAUAAAUUUCUUUAUAAUAAUGAUCCUUUGUUAUGUUAAGACUAACAAAUAAAACAUUGCAUAACUGAA